rnacentral:rRNA from 1 species
UGCCAGCCGCCGCGGUAAUACGGAGGGGGCAAGCGUUGUUCGGAAUUAUUGGGCGUAAAGGGCGCGCAGGCGGUCUUGUCCGUCAGGUGUGAAAGCUCGGGGCUCAACCCCGGAAGUGCACUUGAAACAGCAAGACUUGAAUACGGUAGAGGAGAGAGGAAUUCCUGGUGUAGAGGUGAAAUUCGUAGAUAUUCGGAAGAACACCAGUGGCGAAGGCGACUCACUGGCACAUUUCUGACGCUGAGGCGCGAAAGCGUGGGGAGCAAACAGGAUUAGAUA